rfam:Triticum aestivum genome assembly, contig: Triticum_aestivum_CS42_TGACv1_scaffold_641571_T_5BL-0.216015_7BL-0.144553
CUAAUACAACCUUCGUCCCAAAUUACUUGUCUUACAUUUGCCUAGAUAUGGACGUACCUAACACUAAAACAUGUUUAAGAUACAUCCGUAUCUAAACAAAUUUAAGACAAGUAAUUUUAAGACGAAGGGAGUACAAC